CCUACGGGAGGCAGCAGUAAGGAAUAUUGGUCAAUGGGCGAAAGCCUGAACCAGCCAUGCCGCGUGCAGGAAGACGGCCUACGGGUUGUAAACUGCUUUUAUACGGGAAUAUGUACCGUAAGAAUAAGGAUCGGCUAACUCCGUGCCAGCAGCCGCGGUAAUACGGAGGAUCCAAGCGUUAUCCGGAUUUAUUGGGUUUAAAGGGUGCGUAGGCGGCUUAUUAAGUCAGGGGUGAAAGACGGUGGCUCAACCAUCGCAGUGCCUUUGAUACUGAUGAGCUUGAAUAUACAUGAGGUAGGCGGAAUGUGACAAGUAGCGGUGAAAUGCAUAGAUAUGUCACAGAACACCGAUUGCGAAGGCAGCUUACUAAGUUAAUUGACGCUGAGGCACGAAAGCGUGGGGAUCAAACAGGAUUAGAUACCCUUGUAGUC
rnacentral:rRNA from 1 species